UCAAAGUUGUUUCUUAUUCCCCAAAACUAUUGAUUUCGAUGUCAUAGUGUAAAAGUUGUUUGGCUCAUUAUCUUCAUAAGAUUGUGAGUGUUCUUUAGAUUUUUUUAAUGCCAUGGACGUUGGAAGCAACACUAUUCAUCAAGUUGGUUUUUCCGUUCCAGAUGCACUUUUGCAUUGUCAUCUAUCAAAAUUGUUCAUUCAUUUUGACCAAUGCUUGGCUAAUAAUUAGCUGUCGAUACCAUUAUGAUGCCAUCGAGAUAAAUAUUGAUGUAAUGGCUAAUUCAUAUGGGAAUACGGUCAUUGGUGGAAUAAUGGAGCACAUUGGGGUCUAUUCCGGUGAUUCAAGGCAAUUGGAUGACCUUUAGCCAAAGUUGUUAUGUUUGUUUCAACGCAAUCAGAAGACCUUUAGCCAAAUAUAGUGCACUGGUCAUAUGUGUCAGGCAUGUCACUCAAAGACCCACUUUUAGCCCAAGUUAAGGAGUUGUACUCCCAUUUGAGAAGUUCCAAAGGUGUGCUUGGACCAGAGAUGCCUAGAAUUAGUGAAGUUAUGUAUAAUUGUAUGUCAUUGAUGUACAAAAAUAUAAAAAAGGGUAUUUCAUGUGGUUGUAUUAAAUUUAGUUAUGUAAAAGAUGAAAAGUUGGGUGAAAUAUCCAAUUUUGGUUA